UUCCAACCUAAAAAAUAAUUAAUUUAACAAAUUUUUCCUAAAAUUAACUACCCUUCUAAAUUUCUCCUUAACUUCCAACUAAUAUAAUUCAUUCCUAUCCUACGUAUAACCGCGGCUGCUGGCACGACUUUAGCCGAUCAUAGAUCAAAUCACUAAUUCCAAAUCUCCUUGAUUAAUUAAUACCAAAUACUGCGAAUAAUAUUAUAACCUUUUAGAUCUUAUAAUCACACACAAAAAUUUACAUGUAAAAUAUUCAAACAAUAAACUUACAAGCAGAAAUAAAACUU
rnacentral:rRNA from 1 species